rnacentral:rRNA from 1 species
GACGAACGCUGGCGGCGUGCCUAACACAUGCAAGUGGAGCGACGAACCAGACUUCGGUCUGGGGCCAAGCCGCGAACGGGUGAGUAACACGUGGGUAACCUGCCCCGAUGAUCGGGACAGCCCGGGGAAACCCGGGCUAAUACCGAAUGUGGUCGCGGUCCGUGAGGACUGUGACGAAAGGAAGCUUCGGCCUCCGCAUCGGGAUGGGCCCGCGGCCCAUUAGCUUGUUGGUGGGGUAAUGGCCUACCAAGGCAUCGAUGGGUAGCUGGUCUGAGAGGACGAUCAGCCACACUGGGACUGAGACACGGCCCAGACUCCUACGGGAGGCAGCAGUGGGGAAUCUUGCGCAAUGCGCGAAAGCGUGACGCAGCGACGCCGCGUGGGGGAAGAAGGCUCUCGGGUCGUAAACCCCUUUCAGUUGGGACGAAGCUUCGCCGGUGAAUAGCCGGCCGGAGUGACGGUACCUUCACAAGAAGCCCCGGCUAACUACGUGCCAGCCGCCGCGGUAA